rnacentral:rRNA from 1 species
GACGAACGCUGGCGGCGUGCUUAACACAUGCAAGUCGAACGGAAAGGCCCUGCUUUUGUGGGGUGCUCGAGUGGCGAACGGGUGAGUAACACGGAGUAACCUGCCCUUGACUUUGGGAUAACUUCAGGAAACUGGGGCUAAUACCGGAUAGGAGCUCCUGCUGCCUGGUGGGGGUUGGAAAGUUUCGGCGGUUGGGGAUGGACUCGCGGCUUAUCAGCUUGUUGGUGGGGUAGUGGCUUACCAAGGCUUUGACGGGUAGCCGGCCUGAGAGGGUGACCGGCCACAUUGGGACUGAGAUACGGCCCAGACUCCUACGGGAGGCAGCAGUGGGGAAUAUUGCACAAUGGGCGGAAGCCUGAUGCAGCAACGCCGCGUGCGGGAUGACGGCCUUCGGGUUGUAAACCGCUUUCGCCUGUGACGAAGCGUGAGUGACGGUAAUGGGUAAAGAAGCACCGGCUAACUACGUG